rnacentral:rRNA from 1 species
GUGGUUUAAUUCGAAGCAACGCGAAGAACCUUUACCAGGUCUUUGACAUCCCGAUGCUAUUUCUAGAGAUAGAAAGUUACUUCGGUACAUCGGUGACAGGUGGUGCAUGGUUGUCGUCAGCUCGUGUCGUGAGAUGUUGGGUUAAGUCCCGCAACGAGCGCAACCCCUAUUGUUAGUUGCCAUCAUUCAGUUGGGCACUCUAGCGAGACUGCCGGUAAUAAACCGGAGGAAGUGGGGAUGACGUCAAAUCAUCAUGCCCCUUAUGACCUGGGCUACACACGUGCUACAAUGGUUGGUACAACGAGUUGCGAGUCGGUGACGGCGAGCUAAUCUCUUAAAGCCAAUCUCAGUUCGGAUUGUAGGCUGCAACUCGCCUACAUGAAGUCGGAAUCGCUAGUAAUCGCGGAUCAGCACGCCGCGGUGAAUACGUUCCCGGGCCUU